UGCUAGGGUUAAUUUCAUUUUGAAACUUUUUUUUUAAAAAAAAAAUUGCGAGUAACAUUGAAACUAGUUGGUAUUUGGUAAUUUCUACCCUUGUUUUUAAAAUUUACUCGUAUUAAAAAAGAAAUAUAACAAAAACUUGACUUAAUCAAUCACUCUUAAGUCUCAAGUUAUAUUUCCUCAAAAAAAAAAGUGUUAAGUCAAUUAUUCAUCUAUGCUGAACAAACUCUUCAUCCUAAAAAAUAAAACACGCAGAAGGCUAAUUCUGAUAAUCAACCCUCAUUGUCGCUCAUGUCGAUCUACCUCCGCUGCGUGGCCUGCGCCACCAAUUCUCUUACCAGGGAGAAUAUAUGGUAAAACUUGAGGAAAAUAUAAAAACAAAGGAAUUGAGGUAAGCCCUUACAAAGUCUAUUUGGAGGUAGGUGGGUAAAAGAAAGGAAAAGUUUACGAUUUACGCAGCGCUUCACAAAUGUACUAAAAGAGUGAUCCUACUCCCAUCAUACUGCAUCAUCUUUCACUACUUCCAUGAUUUCCCAACUAUGUUCUCAAGUUGAAGAAUUAAAGAAGAUGGCGGAAGAAAACCAUAACAAGGCAGAAGAAAGCUAAAAAAUGGAUGCGGAAAGCUUAAAAUAUGCUAAGGAAAGCUACUUGGAAGAAGGAAAAAAUGGAUAUGCACAAAACAUUGAAGGAAAUGAUAACUCUUGUCCAACAUUACUGUCCUUCUAGGCCUCUAAUCUCACCCGGGUGGUAAUUUUGUGAACAUUUGAAUUUAUUUUUGGAGAUGUAUUUUUAUAUCGUCAUUAGUUCUUAUUGGAAGUAGAUUCCUUUGUGUGGGAGUUGAUUUUUGAAAUAACUAGUCGUUGAAGCACGCGCGUUGCGCGUGCUCCCUCGACGGCAAGAUAAGUAUGAUUCGUGAAAUUGUUCCUUUUUUGAGGUUUUCGUGAUUUUGUUUAGGUCAAGUAAUUAUAGAGGCUUUUUUAAUUUAUAAGUUGUUAGAAGGGGUAGUGAUAAAGCUUGUAAGAUAAGUAAAAUUCGUAGUUGUGUUCGGUUAUUGUAAUAUUCGUGGUUGUAUUCGGUUUUGUAAUAGCAAGGAUACAAGAAUUUGUAAGUACUAACAAGGAAUAGUGAUAAAGUUUCUAUGGAGAUAUAUGUAUGGAAAAACAAUUGAUAUAAGUGAAGUUAUCUAGAAUUUGUUAGAAUU